AAAAAGCGAAUACGCUUGCAAUUUUUUUUACAAAGCGGGCACAAAUUAAAACGUGACACAAAAAGCGGGUAUAGAUGCAAAUGCCUUCUGACAUGCCCUCUCCAAGCAUAGAGUUGGGCCACGUGGCCCAUGUGAAGGCUUUGGGCUGCUAGGCUCCUAAAGUGGGGCGGACUGCGUGAGGCUGGUUUCACAGAGCAACGAAUAGCUCCUGCUUUGUGCAGUGAAAGGAUAACGUGCCGGUGCUACUCAGGCCCAACAAAUGCCUGAUGGGCUGCUCUAAUCAAACCACCACUUUU
rnacentral:SRP_RNA from 1 species